rnacentral:misc_RNA from 1 species
GAUGAAGAACGUAGCGAAAUGCGAUAAGUAGUGUGAAUUGCAGAAUUCAGUGAAUCAUCGAAUCUUUGAACGCACAUUGCGCCCGCUAGUAUUCUAGCGGGCAUGCCUGUUCGAGCGUCAUUUCAACCAUCAAGCCCCAGGCUUGUGUUGGAGCCCUGCGGCCGUCCGCAGCCUCCUAAAAUCAGUGGCGGGCUCGCUAUCACACCGAGUGCAGUAGUUUACUCUUCGCUCAGGACGUGUAGCGGGUUCCGGCCGUGAAACCCCCCAAUUUUCAAGGUUGACCUCGGAUCAGGUAGGAAUACCCGCUGAACUUAAGCAUAUCAAUAAGCGGAGA